rnacentral:rRNA from 1 species
UACGUAGGGGGCGAGCGUUGUCCGGAGUUACUGGGCGUAAAGGGCACGCAGGCGGUGCGGCGCGUUUCGCGUGACAGCGGAGGGCUUAACUCUCCGAGGAUGCGAAAGACGGCGGCACUUGAGGGCCAGAGAGGGACACGGAAUUCCGGGUGGAGUGGUGAAAUGCGUAGAGAUCCGGAGGAACACCGAAGGCGAAGGCAGUGUCCUGGCUGGUGACUGACGCUGAGGUGCGAAAGCUAGGGGGGCGAACGGG